AGAGUUUGAUCAUGGCUCAGAUUGAACGCUGGCGGCAUGCCUUACACAUGCAAGUCGAACGGCAGCACGAGAGCUUGCUCUUGGUGGCGAGUGGCGAACGGGUGAGUAAUAUAUCGGAACGUACCCUAGAGUGGGGGAUAACGUAGCGAAAGUUACGCUAAUACCGCAUACGAUCUACGGAUGAAAGCGGGGGAUCGCAAGACCUCAUGCUCAUGGAGCGGCCGAUAUCUGAUUAGCUAGUUGGUGGGGUAAAAGCUCACCAAGGCGACGAUCAGUAGCUGGUCUGAGAGGACGACCAGCCACACUGGAACUGAGACACGGUCCAGACUCCUACGGGAGGCAGCAGUGGGGAAUUUUGGACAAUGGGCGCAAGCCUGAUCCAGCAAUGCCGCGUGAGUGAAGAAGGCCUUCGGGUUGUAAAGCUCUUUUGUCAGGGAAGAAACGGUGGACUCUAAUACAGAUCACUAAUGACGGUACCUGAAGAAUAAGCACCGGCUAACUACGUGCCAGCAGCCGCGGUUAUACGUAGGGUGCAAGCGUUAAUCGGAAUUACUGGGCGUAAAGCGUGCGCAGGCGGUUGUGCAAGACAGAUGUGAAAUCCCCGGGCUCAACCUGGGAAUUGCAUUUGUGACUGCACGGCUAGAGUGUGUCAGAGGGGGGUAGAAUUCCACGUGUAGCAGUGAAAUGCGUAGAGAUGUGGAGGAAUACCGAUGGCGAAGGCAGCCCCCUGGGAUAACACUGACGCUCAUGCACGAAAGCGUGGGGAGCAAACAGGAUUAGAUACCCUGGUAGUCCACGCCCUAAACGAUGUCUACUAGUUGUCGGGUCUUAAUUGACUUGGUAACGCAGCUAACGCGUGAAGUAGACCGCCUGGGGAGUACGGUCGCAAGAUUAAAACUCAAAGGAAUUGACGGGGACCCGCACAAGCGGUGGAUGAUGUGGAUUAAUUCGAUGCAACGCGAAAAACCUUACCUACCCUUGACAUGUCUGGAAUCCUUGAGAGAUCAGGGAGUGCUCGAAAGAGAAUCAGAACACAGGUGCUGCAUGGCUGUCGUCAGCUCGUGUCGUGAGAUGUUGGGUUAAGUCCCGCAACGAGCGCAACCCUUGUCAUUAGUUGCUACGAAAGGGCACUCUAAUGAGACUGCCGGUGACAAACCGGAGGAAGGUGGGGAUGACGUCAAGUCCUCAUGGCCCUUAUGGGUAGGGCUUCACACGUCAUACAAUGGUACAUACAGAGGGCCGCCAACCCGCGAGGGGGAGCUAAUCCCAGAAAGUGUAUCGUAGUCCGGAUUGUAGUCUGCAACUCGACUACAUGAAGUUGGAAUCGCUAGUAAUCGCGGAUCAGCAUGUCGCGGUGAAUACGUUCCCGGGUCUUGUACACACCGCCCGUCACACCAUGGGAGCGGGUUUCACCAGAAGUGGGUAGCCUAACCGCAAGGAGGGCGCUCACCACGGUGGGAUUCGUGACUGGGGUGAAGUCGUAACAAGGUA
rnacentral:rRNA from 1 species